AAACGCUGACGGCGAGCCUAAUACACUGCAAGUCGAACGGUGCCUUCGGGCAUAGUGGCGCACGGGUGCGUAACACGUAUGCAACCUACCUUACAUUGGGGGAUAGCCUUUCGAAAGGGAGAUUAAUACCGCAUAACACAGUGAGUUGGCAUCAGCUUAUUGUUAAAGAUUUAUCGAUGUAAGAUGGGCAUGCGUCCAAUUAGUUAGUUGGCGAGGUAACGGCUCACCAAGACGAUGAUUGGUAGGGGAACUGAGAGGUCAAUCCCCCACACUGGCACUGAGAUACGGGCCAGACUCCUACGGGAGGCAGCAGAAGGGAAUAUUGGGCAAUGGACGCAAGUCUGACCCAGCCAUGCCGCGUGCAGGAAGACGGCCUCUGGGUUGUAAACUGCUUUUAUAUAGGAAGAAAGAAUCCUUGCGAGGAUAGUUGACGGUACUAUAAGAAUAAGCACCGGCUAACUCCGUGCCAGCAGCCGCGGUAAUACGGAGGGUGCAAGCGUUGUCCGGAUUUAUUGGGUUUAACACGGGUGCGCAGGUGGUUUAUUAAGUCAGUGGUGAAAGACAGGUCGCUUAACGAUUGCAAGUGGCCCACU
rnacentral:rRNA from 1 species